AUUCACUUCGGCAGCAUGUAUACUAAAAACUGGAACAAUACAGAGACGUUUAGCAUGAUCCCUGCACAAGAGUGACACGUGCAUUUGUGAAGCAUUCCAUAUUUUU